GGGUGCCCUAAGGGAGAGGUCCUUUCAAUGUCCAUUUGUGCUCCUAGGGAGAGGUCCUUUCAAUAGAUCGAAUCAUCAGCUGGGUCGGAGUAGGUCAAAGUACGUCCUUGGAGACGAAAGCCAAAAUCCACUGUUCGGAUCGCCAAUUGGGUCAGAGUAGAUUAGAGUAUGUCUUUGAAGAUGGAAGCCAAAAUCCACUG
rnacentral:lncRNA from 1 species